rnacentral:sRNA from 2 species
GUCCUGCCAACGCCUUGAGUCCCGUUUGACCCGCAUGGCAGGAGCGGGGGAACCACCGUUCCUCCGAGCGUCGUGGAGCCGGAUCGUUCCGGCUGCGCGCCGCUCUUGGGGUGUAGCACCUCGACGACGGCCUCCGGGCCGGAGAAGAGAGCCGGGCAACCUUUCGCCCGAACCCGACAGCUAACCUCGUAGGCGCGAGAGGUUCU